rnacentral:rRNA from 1 species
GACGAACGCUGGCGGCGUGCUUAACACAUGCAAGUCGUACGGUAAGGCCCUUUCGGGGGUACACGAGUGGCGAACGGGUGAGUAACACGUGAGUAACCUGCCCACAACUUUGGGAUAACGCUAGGAAACUGGUGCUAAUACUGGAUAUGUGCUCCUGCUGCAUGGUGGGGGUUGGAAAGCUCCGGCGGUUGUGGAUGGACUCGCGGCCUAUCAGCUUAUUGGUGGGGUAGUGGCCUACCAAGGCGGCGACGGGUAGCCGGCCUGAGAGGGUGACCGGCCACAUUGGGACUGAGAUACGGCCCAGACUCCUACGGGAGGCAGCAGUGGGGAAUAUUGCACAAUGGGCGCAAGCCUGAUGCAGCAACGCCGCGUGCGGGAUGACGGCCUUCGGGUUGUAAACCGCUUUCAGCAGGGACGAAGCUUUUUGUGACGGUACCUGCAGAAGAAGCACCGGCUAACUACGU